UUUCACUUCGAUUGACCCCCUGAAACUGAAAUGGUUCACAGAUCAAGAUCUGGUCAGAUCUGACUUGGUCGAAUUAAAUCAGGAGCUUGGGAACGAAUUUUUGAAUGAAACAAACUGGGGGAUACUUAGUUGUGCCAUGGUGAUACCGAGAGAGGCAAUUGCUAAGUUAUGAUACUCUCAUACCUUUACUAGAUGCGAACGAUUCCGGAGAAGAAGAAGAAGUGGUUCGGACAAGGAUCUUAUUUAUAUUGACGGGAUUCUUAUAUUGAUGAAGUUGAAGAAGUCCAGGGACAAAUAAGCCAAGGCAAGCCAUCUUUUGAUCUCUGAUAUGAUGUCUCUUUGGAUGUCAUCUUGUGCUAUCAAUAGCAUCUUGGUUCUAUGUGUGAUGAUCUCCAUAUUGUUGUCAUCUAUGCUUGGAUGCAAGCAUGGUACCUCUAGUAGUUUUAUCUUGUCAAGGUCUUGGUAAUUGGUUGGGUGUAUGGUAUCAUGGCCAUUGCUAUCCAACUUGCUUUCUAUAUUUAGCUUGAAUAUGUUCCACCUCGGGACAAGAUUCAUACUACACCCCCUUCUAGUGUAGAUGUAUCAAUACCAUGUUUUUGGUGUAUUCUCAAAUUGUGAUGAGUAUGCCUGUUUUCCCUUAAUGGUGUUGGUGUUGGUCAAUUCUCAUCCCUAUCUAUCUAUUGAUUGGGUUAGAUAGCACCACAAAUCUGAAAGUAUAUUUCCUCUUGU